rnacentral:rRNA from 1 species
UACGUAGGGACCAAGCGUUGUUCGGAUUUACUGGGCGUAAAGGGCGCGUAGGCGGCGUGGUAAGUCACUUGUGAAAUCUCUGAGCUUAACUCAGAACGGUCAAGUGAUACUGCUGUGCUAGAGUGCGGAAGGGGCAAUCGGAAUUCUUGGUGUAGCGGUGAAAUGCGCAGAUAUCAGGAGGAACACCAAUGGCGAAGGCAGCUCGCUGGGACGGUACUGACGCUGAGACGCGAAAGCGUGGGGAGCAAACAGG